rnacentral:lncRNA from 1 species
CCAGAAGUUUUAGGUACAGUUUCCCGUACGACACAAGAAUAGGGGUGAAUUGCUGUCUCUCGGGAUUGAGCCUUGCUGGUUUUGGUUCAUUUCUGGGUUGGCUUUGAGCGGGUAUAGUGUUUUGUGGGAAUGAGGUGAUGGGUCUUUGGUUGUUCGUGGCGUAAACGGGAUAGGAAGGAGGUGGUGCUUGGUAGUAAGGGUUUUGAGGGGGAUAAUAGAAAUUUAGAGGUGGAUAAUUUCGAGGUCGGGGUUGGUUCGGAUAUGGAUUAGAGGCAUAACGACUUCCUAUUCCCACCAUGUGGGCUUCUGGUUCUUUCUUCUUCAUAGGUGCUGCCCUUUU